UCUCCGGUGGCCCAGUGCUUAAGACUCUGCGCUCCCAAUGCAGGGAGCCCAGGUUCAACCCCUGGUCAGGGAA
rnacentral:tRNA from 1 species